AGUCGACGCCCCGCAAGGGGAGUCGGCAGACGGGUGAGUAACGCGUGGGAAUGACUGUUCCUGCGGAAUAGCUCCGGGAAACUGGAAUUAAUACCGCAAACGCCCUACGGGGGAAAGAUUUAUCGGGGAAGGAUUGGCCCGCGUUGGAUUAGCUAGUUGGUGGGGUAAAGGCCUACCAAGGCGACGAUCCAUAGCUGGUCUGAGAGGAUGAUCAGCCACAUUGGGACUGAGACACGGCCCAAACUCCUACGGGAGGCAGCAGUGGGGAAUAUUGGACAAUGGGCGCAAGCCUGAUCCAGCCAUGCCGCGUGAGUGAUGAAGGCCUUAGGGUUGUAAAGCUCUUUCACCGGAGAAGAUAAUGACGGUAUCCGGAGAAGAAGCCCCGGCUAACUUCGUGCCAGCAGCCGCGGUAAUACGAAGGGGGCUAGCGUUGUUCGGAAUUACUGGGCGUAAAGCGCACGUAGGCGGAUAUUUAAGUCAGGGGUGAAAUCCCAGAGCUCAACUCUGGAACUGCCUUUGAUACUGGGUAUCUUGAGUAUGGAAGAGGUAAGUGGAAUUCCGAGUGUAGAGGUGAAAUUCGUAGAUAUUCGGAGGAACACCAGUGGCGAAGGCGGCUUACUGGUCCAUUACU
rnacentral:rRNA from 1 species